rnacentral:rRNA from 1 species
GACAGAGGAGCCAAGCGUUGUCCGGAUUGACUGGGCGUAAAGCGCACGCAGGCGGGUGCGCGCGUGGGGUGUUAAACCUGGCCGCUUAACGGCCAGCGGCCAUCCCAUACGGCGCGCCUGGAGCCUUGCAGAGGGCGGUGGAAUUGCCGGUGUAGUGGUGAAAUGCGCAGAUAUCAGGAAGAACACCAAUGGCGAAAGCAGCUUUCUGGGACGGUACUGACGCUGAGACGCGAAAGCGUGGGGAGCGAACAGG